AGCGAACGCUGGCGGCAGGCCUAACACAUGCAAGUCGAACGAACCCUUCGGGGUUAGUGGCGGACGGGUGAGUAACACGUGGGAACGUGCCUUUAGGUUCGGAAUAACUCAGGGAAACUUGUGCUAAUACCGAAUGUGCCCUUCGGGGGAAAGAUUUAUCGCCUUUAGAGCGGCCCGCGUCUGAUUAGCUAGUUGGUGAGGUAAUGGCUCACCAAGGCUACGAUCAGUAGCUGGUCUGAGAGGAUGACCAGCCACAUUGGGACUGAGGCACGGCCCGAACUCCUACGGGAGGCAGCAGUGGGGAAUCUUGCGCAAUGGGCGAAAGCCUGACGCAGCCAUGCCGCGUGGAUGAUGAAGGUCUUAGGAUUGUAAAAUCCUUUCACCGGUGAAGAUAAUGACUGUAGCCGGAGAAGAAGCCCCGGCUAACUUCGUGCCAGCCGCCGCCGUAAUAC
rnacentral:rRNA from 1 species